AGGCCAGAAAGGGGAGGGAUUUCCGUUAGACGGAAGCCGUGUAUGUUCAUCUUCUCCUCCUCUCCUCUGGUGCAUCAGUCCUCCGCAUGCAGCACGCCCCGGCAGGAGAGAUGAAUCCUCAUUUCAUUCUUCAGCGGGUUUUCCAAACGUUAACGUUACCCCGGGCAGCAAAGACAAACCGAGCGGGCCGGUUUAUCCUAAAGAAGUCUGACCGUUAGCCGCAUGGAGGCCUGCUGGAGCUGAUGCCUGCCUGGAUGACUUGCAUUAAGUCAAGGUUGAGAUGAAGAAACUGAAAAGAAAUUUGCUUUAAAGAUGGCCUCCACUGGAUAAAAGCAGAUUUGAAUCUGGUGCAGGUGAGAGUGGGGCGACUGAGGGAUGGAUGGAUGCUGCUGCUGUGUUUCAGCAGUCGGAAGACCAGAAUCUCACUGGGUCUGAGAGCUGGUAGGAAUGUGAAGACUGAAAACGUCGGAGCUGGCUGGACAAAGAUGUGAGCCCACUGUGUUUCAGAUGGUCCUGAGAUCAAGUCUCUUAUUAACCAGGACCUCACUGGGUCUGAGAGCUGGUGAGAAUAAGAAGACAAAGCUCUGAUGCUGCUGUCCUGAAGAUGGUCCUGAGAUCAAAUCUUAUUGACCAGGACCUCACUGGGUCUGAGAGCUGGUAAGAAUAGGAAGACAGAACACUUCAAACAAAGCUCUGAUGCUGCUGUGCUGAAGAUGGUCCUGAGAUCAAAUCUCUUAUUGACCAGGACCUCACUGGGUCUGAGAGCUGGUUGAUUUCAUGACUCGACAAAUGGGAAGUAACUCUGUGCUCCUGCUGAUGUGAUCUAGUUUAUUUUAAUGGUGUCUAAAAUCCAAAGCAUCACUGGCCAGAAAACUGCUUCCACCGAGCCGAUGCAACAAACCUGAAUGAAGAAACGACCAUUUAAUACGCAGAAAGUCAUGUUUUGUAUAAUCAAGCUAUUGCAUUGAACUGUCAACUGGUAUUUGUUGAAUAAACAUAAUUCAGUUAAC